rnacentral:rRNA from 1 species
AGUGAACGCUGGCGGUAGGCCUAACACAUGCAAGUCGAACGGCAGCACAGUAAGAGCUUGCUCUUACGGGUGGCGAGUGGCGGACGGGUGAGGAAUACAUCGGAAUCUACUUUUUCGUGGGGGAUAACGUAGGGAAACUUACGCUAAUACCGCAUACGACCUACGGGUGAAAGCAGGGGAUCUUCGGACCUUGCGCGAUUGAAUGAGCCGAUGUCGGAUUAGCUAGUUGGCGGGGUAAAGGCCCACCAAGGCGACGAUGCGUAGCUGGUCUGAGAGGAUGAUCAGCCACACUGGAACUGAGACACGGUCCAGACUCCUACGGGAGGCAGCAGUGGGGAAUAUUGGGCAAUGGGCGCAAGCCUGAUCCAGCCAUACCGCGUGAGUGAUGAAGGCCUUCGGGUUGUAAAGCCCUGUUGUUGGGAAAGAAAAGCAGCAGGUUAAUACCCCGCUGUUCUGACGGUACCCAAAGAAUAAGCACCGGCUAACUUCGUG